AACGAACGCUGGCGGCAUGCCUAACACACGCAAGUCGAACGAGACCUUCGGGUCUAGUGGCGCACGGGUGCGUAACGCGUGGGAAUCUGCCCUUGGGUUCGGAAUAACUCGCCGAAAGGCGUGCUAAUACCGGAUGAUGUCGUAAGACCAAAGAUUUAUCGCUGAAAGAUGGCCUCGCGUCCCAUUAGCUAGUAGGCGGGGUAACGGCCCACCUAGGCGACGAUGGGUAGCCGGACUGAGAGGUUGACCGGCCACAUUGGGACUGAGAUACGGCCCAG
rnacentral:rRNA from 1 species